AGCCCAAGAAACAGAAACUUCAUGGAGGACUGUCUGCCAUGGGAGGGAGCCCAUGCUGGGACAGGGGAAGAGUGUGAGGAGUCCUCCCCUGAGGAGGAAGGAGUGGCAGAGACAAUGGGUGAUGAACUGAUCACAAUCCACAU